GUACUGUGCGAACGUUAUUCGGAAUCACUGGGCUUAAAGGGUGCGUAGGCGGCUGGAUAAGUAGGGUGUGAAAUCCCUCGGCUCAACCGAGGAACUGCGCUCUAAACUGUCCGGCUUGAGUGAGAUAGGGGUGUGCGGAACUUCCAGUGGAGCGGUGAAAUGUGUUGAUAUUGGAAGGAACGCCGGUGGCGAAAGCGGCACACUGGGUCUCAACUGACGCUGAGGCACGAAAGCCAGGGGUAGCGAACGGGAUUAGAUACCCCGGUAGUCCUGGCCGUAAACGUUGAGCACUAGUUGGGAGGGUUUCGGCCUCUUCGAACGUAGCGAAAGCAUUAAGUGCUCCGCCUGGGGGAGUAUGGUCGCAAGGCUG
rnacentral:rRNA from 1 species